ensembl:lncRNA
CCCCCACUCCCAGCCUUUGCACACUUGUAUCUGCUUCCUUUGUCUACCAAGGUGCCUGUUCAAGCACUUCAUAUAAAUGGAGCUGUACACAGUGUGACCCUUAGUAUCUGACUCCUUUCACUCUGCGUAAUACAGCCUGUUCAUCUUACAGAUGGGAAGGCUGAGACCCCAAGCCAGGCAGAGGGCCCUGUCCGAGCCCACACGGCAUGUUGCAGGGAAGAAGCAGACCUUCCCAAGGACGAGGGGACAUGGAGCCAGGAUCAGCAGCCACGAGGUGGAAAUGAAGCAGAGUGGAUGGCAUGUCAUCUAGAGCAGGACGCUUGCUGACAAAGCCCAUGCAGCGGCUGGAUAUGAAAUACCUCGUUCAAGAGCAUUGAUUGGGCGUCUGCUGGAUCCUCAGCCCCUUUCUUGGAGCUUGCAGCCUGGCUGGUCUCAAGCACAGUCUUUGGUGAAAGACAGAAGAUGCAUCAGAUCCUUGGAGCAUGAACACAGUGUGAAUUUGCAUCCAUGUGGUUUGGAGGAGCCAGGAGAGUCACCAGCAGGCACAAGCACUAUCCCAUCCCCACUACACCUUCUGGGAUGGAGGGAGGCCCCACUGCCUGAUGGUCACCCACUCUUCCACAGUGAGGAGUGUGACACCCCAGGUCAGCUGUGCAGGAAAGUGGACACCAUAUAAAGCUUGAGCCUGAGUCUGAAGCAAAGAAGACUUAGAGGCAUUAGCCCAGGGGAGUCAGAGGACAGCAAGCGGCAGGUCUGCCGUGUGGGUGGCAGGAAACGGGAGGGUGAGGAGCGGGUGCUUGGAGUGACCCUGAGAGACAGCACUUCACAGGGUCACGCAGGCCUCCUGCAUCUGAAUGGCUCACAGUUACGGGCUUAAAAGGAUCAGAAUGCGAUGAAGCACAUUUAACACACUCAGCAGAGACCAAUUCAGUCUUGGUUGAUUUGCACGGUGUUUUAAAAUCAUGCUAGCCCCCCAGUGGACAUCAUUAUGAGCCCCCAAAGAGCCAGGCUCCAGUCCCGCUGCGUGGGUGCCUCGUUAUCUCCAGUUUGGGAGAACAGACACUUCCCCCUGUAAGCAGGGAGCUCCCUCCGGAACAUUGGAUUUUCCAGGUGCUUUGCCUGCAAUCUGGGGGCUUCUCAACCUGGAGGACGGCCAUGCUUUGGCCUCCCAUGGGGUUUGAGCAUCAGCAUCAGCUACAGAAGGGGUGAGCAUACUGCCGUUCAAUUAUGGUUGCCCAUGACAACGGAUCUCUUUCUUGAACUGAAAUUCUUUAUUAAUGAGGAAGCCCAGAGUACCAUAGAAUGUUAAUUUCUGAGAUUUAAAAGCACACUUGGCGGUAAAAUUUGGCUUGCCUGUUCAUAGAUUUUGGAGCCCGGGGGGAGCUUAGAAGUGAUUUUGUCCGGUAUCUCCACGCCACAGCCAAGGAAACAGAGACUAAGAGGUGACGCGGUCCCCUCGAGGCUCUGUGGCCGUUUAGAAGCCAGGACUGGCCUUACUGUUCAACCUUCCAUCCAUUGGCAGAAACAGAAGACUUUGUUAAAACAAUCAAACGUAAGAGCUGCCAUGUGCAAAAGUUCUUGGUGUGGGCAGGGCACAGGGCUGACUUUUUACACUUAUUACUCCACUUAAUCUUUGCAACACUUCAUCAGGAGUAUUUUGUUUCCAUCCCAGCUGG